rnacentral:rRNA from 1 species
GAUGAACGCUAGCGAUAGGCUUAACACAUGCAAGUCGAGGGGCAGCACAAGGUAGCUUGCUAUCUGGGUGGCGACCGGCGCACGGGUGCGUAACGCGUAUGCAACUUGCCCUAUACAGGAGGAUAACCCGUCGAAAGACGGACUAAUACUGCGUAUGCUCACAACUUGGCAUCAAGUGGUGAGGAAAGAAAUUCGGUAUAGGAUAGGCAUGCGUCCCAUUAGCUUGUUGGUGAGGUAACGGCUCACCAAGGCAACGAUGGGUAGGGGAACUGAGAGGUUUAUCCCCAACACUGGUACUGAGACACGGACCAGACGCCUAGGGGAGGCAGCAGUGAGGAAUAUUGGUCAAUGGGCGCGAGCCUGAACCAGCCAAGUCGCGUGAAGGAUGACUGUCUUAUGGAUUGUAAACUUCUUUUAAAAGGGAAUAACAAGAGUCACGUGUGACUCCCUGAAUGUACCGUAUGAAUAAGCAUCGGCUAACUCCGUG